rnacentral:rRNA from 1 species
GAUGAACGCUAGCGGAAGGCGUAAUACAUGCAAGUCGAACGGAUGUAGCAAUACAUUAGUGGCGCACGGGUGCGUAACGCGUAUGCAACCUACCUUCAUCAGGGGGAUAACUACCCGAAAGGGUGGCUAACACCGCAUAAUACUACUGAAUGGCAUCAUUUGGUAUUUAAAUCUGAGGAGGAUGAAGAUGGGCAUGCGUCUGAUUAGCUAGUUGGUGUGGUAACGGCGCACCAAGGCGACGAUCCGUAGGGGAACUGAGAGGUUGGUCCCCCACACUGGCACUGAGAUACGGGCCAGACUCCUACGGGAGGCAGCAGUAGGGAAUAUUGGUCAAUGGUGGGAACACUGAACCAGCCAUUCCGCGGGCAGGAAGAAGGGUCUCUGACUUGUAAACUGCUUUAGCAAGGGAAGAAAAAGCUCAUGCGUGAGAAAUUGACGGUACCUUGAGAAUAAGCACCGGCUAACUACGUGCCAGCAGCCGCGGUAAAAC